GCCACUUUAGCUCAGUUGGUAGAGCAACGCAUUCGUAAUGCGUAGGUCUACGGUUCGAGUCCGUAAUGUGGCUCAA
rnacentral:tRNA from 1 species